CUACGGGACGCUCCAGUAGGGAAUUUUGCGCAAUGGGGGAAACCCUGACGCAGCGACGCCGCGUGAGUGAAGAAGGCCUUCGGGUUGUAAAGCUCUGUCAGAAGGGACGAAUAACUGGAGUUAAAUAAGCUUUCAGGAUGACGGUACCUUCAGAGGAAGCACCGGCUAACUCUGUGCCAGCAGCCGCGGUAAUACAGAGGGUGCUAGCGUUAUUCGGAAUCACUGGGCGUAAAGCGCAUGUAGGGGGAAUAUCAAGUCAGGUGUGAAAUCCCGGGGCUUAACCUCGGAGCUGCAUUUGAAACUGGUAUGCUUGAGUUUGGAAGAGGAAGGCGGAAUUCCAGGUGUAGAGGUGAUAUUCGUAGAUAUCUGGAGGAACAUCGGAGACGUAGGUGGCUUUCUGGUCCAACACUGACACUGAGAUGCGAAAGCGUGGGGAGCAAACAGGAUUAGAUACCCCGGUAGUC
rnacentral:rRNA from 1 species